CCAGAGCUGUGCUAUUUGGCGGUGCCGUGUACCGCCCACCCUUAGCGGGCCGCUCGCUUUUUGUUGGUGUUUGGGACGGGACAAACAUACACGCAACCCUUUAGCGGCCCUGCGCCGACUCCCUUGUGCUGUCGGUCCUUUAUGUAGAGGGAGAGUGACGCGGCUCCUCGUGCCUCCCCCUGCCUUUGCUGUACCAUAAAUCCUCGAGUAUAGGCCCCCCGCCGUCCAGCGGCGGAAGGAGCAAAGCAGGGCUGAGGAGCGAGAGGAAACGUGGCAAACGCUCCGGAGCGCCCAGGGAGAGGUGGAGGUGGAUCAGGCUGCGUGUACCUCUGCCAUAGCCGGCAGCUGGAGCGGGCUGAAGGUGCCGGUCAGGGCGGUAACGCAGUGCUGGAGGACAUCGGGAAAUGGUAGACUGGGGAAGACCGGGAUGAAUUGUUGCACCACGAGAUCAUGCUCAGAAAUCAUGGAACGAACAGAUCCAAUACAUCUACAGUUUUAAAAGGACGAGUAAAUCUCGCCAGAACGCCUGCCAGAUGCCAAGUGCUUUGUUCCAUUGGAACUAACAGAGCAUACUCUUAAGACAGCUGCAUCCAAGAGAUCCUGAAUGAAGAGGAGUUGUCUUGGGCCGCAUAUCAAAUAUAUAAUAUAG